rnacentral:rRNA from 1 species
GAUGAACGCUGGCGGCGUGCCUAAUACAUGCAAGUAGAACGCUGAAGCUUGGUGCUUGCACCGAGCGGCUGAGUUGCGAACGGGUGAGUAACGCGUAGGUAACCUGCCUCUUAGCGGGGGAUAACUAUUGGAAACGAUAGCUAAUACCGCAUAAAAGUCGAUAUCGCAUGAUAUUGAUUUGAAAGGUGCAAAUGCAUCACUAAGAGAUGGACCUGCGUUGUAUUAGCUAGUUGGUGAGGUAACGGCUCACCAAGGCGACGAUACAUAGCCGACCUGAGAGGGUGAUCGGCCACACUGGGACUGAGACACGGCCCAGACUCCUACGGGAGGCAGCAGUAGGGAAUCUUCGGCAAUGGGGGCAACCCUGACCGAGCAACGCCGCGUGAGUGAAGAAGGUUUUCGGAUCGUAAAGCUCUGUUGUAAGAGAAGAACGAGUGUGAGAGUGGAAAGUUCACACUGUGACGGUAACUUACCAGAAAGGGACGGCUAACUACGUG